UGCUGCUUAGGGUAUUGUAGUGGAAAUACUGAGUGAUGGAGCACCUGGUGGGAAGGUAGGGCCAACCCAGGGGAGCUCAGGUGUAUGCAAUGUACCUGAGUGACCAGAAGGGCUGGAAUCAGGAUCCACCCGUACCCAGACCUCAUUUAAGGGUUGGCAGUGGCAGCAAGGGGAUCUUGCUGGAGAUCCCUGACUAUUAGAGACCUUCUAAAGGCAGACAGGAUGCGUACCAUCCAUCCCAGAGCAAACUGAACCCCAAAUUUCAACAAGGGUGAGCUCCCCUGAAUUCAUGUACAGGAUUUUUGUGGCCAAUGAUACAUCAAGAGGUGAAAGUGCUAAAACCCCCAGUUCUUCCCUUGAAGGGCCAGGUUCCCACUGGAGACGUUCCAGAUGUGGGCAUGCUGUUCCAGCAAAAGACUUGGGCAUCAGUGCAUAUUUUAGUAGCUGCAUCAAUGUUCUUGUGGGAAUCAGGUAUGGGGACAUGGCAUGGGGAGAGCUGUUGAGGCCCCCAGUUUCACUCCAGAAAUGAUAAGCAUCACCAAGAUUGUUCUGGCUUUCACAGAGAUGUUCAGUUUUUAAGCAAACAGAGAGCAGAGGCAACCUCUGUGGAAUGGGAAAUGAACCUGCCACUUUGUCUUUGCCAAAACCACAUUUAAAAACCUUUCUAUAAACCAGUUUCACAGAACUCUCUUCAACACCUUCAAGCUGCCUGAACCACAAUAUUAUUUAAGAUCCCCCCCUUCCUUUUUUUUUUUUUUUUUUUUUUUUUUUUUUUUUUUUUUUUUUGGCAACUGCCACCAAGCAAAAUAAACAAUCUGAUGCUGAAAGGCUUCCCCCACUUCACACAAGAAAGGAAGAGCAGCAAAUCACGGCGGUGUCUGGCUCUGAACUCCCUGGUAAGUUCUGGGACAUUUUUACUGACAGCACUUUCUCAAGGAAGGUGUGAACAGCAGUGGAAGAGCUCCUUAUAAAUCUGGAGAGUCCACCCCCUCUGCAAGCUGAGCUCUCCAAAAUACCAGUGCCUAUUUUCAGCCACGUGACUCGGCAGCUAUUGACAAAAUUCGCUGCAGCUGAAGAAAUGAAGAUGCUUUUGAAGCCAGUGAACAUUCCUCAAGAUGUUUUCCUUCCUGCACACACACACACACGACCGGUGAGACAAAGCGAGAGGAAAAGCAAGAGAAGCACAGCCGUUUUUGGCGAUGGUUUCAGACGUUUAUAUUGGAAUGUGAACAUUUUCACUACCAUCCUAGCUUCUCCUUCUGCUCGCUGCUACAGGGAACAGCAUUUGGAUGGCACUGCACUCUGCUGCUGUAAUGAUGGGGAUGUCACUAAUUUACCAUUUAGACUUCACUGACUAUAAAACAGGAGGAGGAAAUGGGCUGUGAGUAUGAUAAGGAGCAAACUGCGUCUGGAACACAAAUACACUUGAAAACUGGGAGGGAAAAGGGGAAAUUAGAAACGAUUAGCUAACUGCAUCUCUCCAGCAACCAGCAUCAUGGUGAACGUGCAGGACGUUUGGAGGGCCACCAGCUGCUGACCCCUAGGAUUUUGGUCAGGUUGGACAUCCCUGUGGCAUUUCCGUGCUUUGCAAGUUGCACUUAGACAUCAUAGGCCUUUUCACAGAUCUACCCAUUUUUGCCUCUGAGACCCUCUAAUGCUUCUGAAGCUCAGGAAAUUGUUGUAGGCAUUGAUUUAAAUUAGAGCUUAAAGCCCUGAUUGAACAGUGACACCUUCCUAAAAUCUGGUUUUUUAGAGCAUGAGGAUAACCCUGUUAGGGGCAGAAAGAAAUGCAAUGGGAAUGCAGAACCCAUUCAAUAAUAUUUUCUGAUAAAAGGGAGCAGAGAAUGGAGAGAAGGCUCAGCCCUCAGCUCUUGCUCAGGCCAAGCCUCAAGCUCAAAGAUAUCAAAGAGUUUUUUUCAAGUUUGCCUGCAUGGAGGAAACAGUUGCAUCAGAAAAUACCAAAAAGCCACACCUCUCAGCCUCUAUUCAUCUGGAAGGCAGGAGAUUUGAAUGCAAACUGAGCUCAGACAGAAAUCUGAGAUGAACAGCAAGGGGCUGCUGACACCAAGCCCCCAGUGCCCACCUGUCUCCUACUCACUCCCCAUGUAAAGCCAGAUGCAACUUUGGGGGCUGCCCAGCCCUCUAGGGCUGGGGGUGAGGUUCCCAGGCUGGGAGGCCCUACCCUCAUCUUGGAUGUGCUCUCCAAACUCAAAGCACCUUUGCGAAACCUCCAGAGUGUUUCCUGAAGCUCCCCAGAACCUGCCAGAAUUCCUACAUAUUUUCCAGGGAACCCAAAUUCACCCAGACUGGAGUGUGAAAUCUUAU